ensembl:misc_RNA Metazoa_SRP Metazoan signal recognition particle RNA
GCUGGGUGUGCUUGUGCACACCUGCAGUCCGAGCUACUUGGAGGCGGAGGCAGGAGGAUCGCUUGAGGCCAGGGGUUCAAGGCUGUCGUGCGCUUUGAUUACACCUAUGAAUAGCCACUGCACUCUAGCCUGGGCAAUGUAGUGUGGCCCUGCCUCUU